rnacentral:rRNA from 1 species
AGGAAACGACUGCUAAGACUGGAUAGGAGACAAGAAGGCAUCUUCUUGUUUUUAAAAGACCUAGCAAUAGGUAUGCUUAGGGAGGAGCUUGCGUCACAUUAGUUAGUUGGUGGGGUAAAGGCCUACCAAGACUAUGAUGUGUAGCCGGGCUGAGAGGUUGAACGGCCACAUUGGGACUGAGACACGGCCCAAACUCCUACGGGAGGCAGCAGUAGGGAAUUUUCGGCAAUGGAGGAAACUCUGACCGAGCAACGCCGCGUGAACGACGAAGUAUUUCGGUACGUAAAGUUCUUUUAUUAGGGAAGAAUAAAUGAUGGAAAAAUCAUUCUGACGGUACCUAAUGAAUAAGCCCCGGCUAACUAUGUGCCAGCAGCCGCGGUAAUACAUAGGGGGCAAGCGUUAUCCGGAAUUAUUGGGCGUAAAGGGUGCGUAGGCGGUUAAAUAAGUUUAUGGUCUAUGUGCAAUGCUCAACAUUGUGAUGCUAUAAAAACUGUUUAGCUAGAGUAAGAUAGAGGCAAGUGGAAUUCCAUGUGUAGUGGUAAAAUGCGUAAAUAUAUGGAGGAACACCAGUAGCGAAGGCGGCUUGCUGGGUCUUUACUGACGCUGAGGCACGAAAGCGUGGGGAGCAAACAGGAUUAGAUACCCUGGUAGUCCACGCCGUAAACGAUGAGUACUAAACGUUGGGUAAAACCAGUGUUGAAGUUAACACAUUAAGUACUCCGCCUGAGUAGUACGUACGCAAGUAUGAAACUUAAAGGAAUUGACGGGACUCCGCACAAGCGGUGGAUCAUGUUGUUUAAUUCGAAGGUACCCGAAAAACCUUACCAGGUCUUGACAUGCUUCUGCAAAGCUGUAGAAACACAGUGGAGGUUAUCAGUUGCACAGGUGGUGCAUGGUUGUCGUCAGCUCGUGUCGUGAGAUGUUGGGUUAAGUCCCGCAACGAGCGCAACCCUUAUUGUUAGUUACCAGCACGUAAUGGUGGGGACUUUAGCAAGACUGCCAGUGAUAAAUUGGAGGAAGGUGGGGACGACGUCAAAUCAUCAUGCCCCUUAUGACCUGGGCUACAAACGUGAUACAAUGGCUGUUACAAAGGGUAGCUGAAGCGCAAGUUUUUGGCGAAUCUCAAAAAAACAGUCUCAGUUCGGAUUGAAGUCUGCAACUCGACUUCAUGAAGUUGGAAUCGCUAGUAAUCGCGAAUCAGCAUGUCGCGGUGAAUACGUUCUCGGGGUUUGUACACACCGCCC